rnacentral:lncRNA from 1 species
UGAAUGCCCAGGAAUCAGCCAAGAGUGCCAGGCUGAACCUGUGGCGCUAUGGCGACUUCCGAGCUGACGAUGCUGAUGAGUUUGGCUACAGUCGCUAAGGAGAACUUGCCUGGCUCCCAGCACCGCUGAUGCCAGACCUUCUCCCUCUGCCAGGAAGCCGUUUUCAACUCCAGACCACCCUUCUUCCCAAGCUCUGUCCAAGUGUUGAUUAUGUGACUUCUGAUACAUCCGUUCUCAAAUUCCAGUGUGCCCAUAUCUGCCCCCACACCAGCCUGUUCUGUAUUUAAAGCUUUU